rnacentral:tRNA from 1 species
GCCUGGAUGGCUCAGUCGGUUGAGCAUCUGACUUCAGCUCAGGUCAUGAUCUCGCAGUUUGUGGGUUUAAGCCCUGCAUCAGGCU